rnacentral:piRNA from 1 species
UGNGUAUGUACAGUCAGUUGCCUUUGUGGUC